GCGGGAAAGCCGAGGCCCGGUGCUGUAUUCUGCCGCCCAUUUUACCCGCGGGGAAGCUGAGGCCCAGUGCUGUUUAAUAUCUUACUCAUGUUCACUUGAUGAGAAAGUGACAGAUCUGAGACAAACCCAGAUGGUGUGCUGCAUUCCCAUGGUUUUGGAUCCUGCAACCACUCUUGUUCCACGCAGAGGCCAGCCUGUGGGUUAGAGAGAUGCACAGAGAGGGACAAAGCCCGGAACAAUCACAGAGAAUCAAAGCACUCUGGUUAUACCUUGCCUUCCCUAAGCUGCUGAUGAAUUAGCAGAUCAAAUUCCAGAAAUAAUUCAACCUUCCACUGUUUUUUUUUUUUCACGCACGUGUCCCUUUGCCAGGCAGCCUUGCUGUAGUGCCUCUGUUUAAUAUUCCAUUUGUAAGAUGGGCAGCUCCAAGUCUAUGCUCACUCAGCUGCUCAUCAAGAAUAACAAGGUAAAUGACAAAGGAGGUAAGAAUGUCCUCGUCAAAUGUCCUAUGCUGUCACCUGCCAGAAAGCCCUCGGCAGUCAGUGUCCAAGAUGGCUCCCCACGCAGGAAUCUCUCUGAAGUGCUCUGUGAUCUCCACAACUAAAACAUAAUUUCUGGCUCCAGAGAGCUCUGGGGCUCUGUUCCCUUGUUCAGCCCGUGCUCCUGGUCAUCGUCAGCCCCAGGACUGAGGCUUGGACUGGCUCAGGGGCUGCUGUCUGUGAAAAUCAGAUUGAUGCAUCUGAUUACAUGGCCUGUUAACAUCUGCAAAAAAUAAGAUAAAAUAAGAAUUAUUUACCUGUCACAGCUUUGACACACCAUCACAAACUGGAGCUGACACCUCUUCUGUUCACCUUGGAGAGGUGCAGAGUGAAGAGCAGACCGUGACACACUUAAUAGAUUGCUGGGCAUUUACGGAGCUGCUUGUUACCCAGCUCAAGAGCCAUGUCCAACUGCUACAGCGUUCAUCAAAGACAAGAAGCCACAAGGAGCAAGUCAGUACUGCAAUUCAUUAAGGCAACUUGACCUCUGGGGAGAGGAGAAGAAAAAGGAACUAGCAGCAUUGAUUGCCUAUGUUUCCUGAAGUGUGGUGUCAUGGCAUAAAAUGACAUUGAAUCACAGGGUGAGAAAACCACGCAUUUCAGCUCUUGCUUGGCCUUUGAAGACGACAUAGGAAGUCUCUGCUGGUGCUAGUUGUCUUGAGCUUCUCUUUGACACCCUUUCCUAAUGCAAACAGAGUGGGCCUCAGCAUGGGAGCUUCUGCAGAUCGACAGAAAAGAAAUGAGUCAACGAUGGUGCAGAAAGGGACCAGCUUGACGAAGCUUCUGCUUUUGUGACUGUCUCCUAAUGAAACCAGAGCACCUCAGAAGAUCAAGGCUUCCAAAUUCUCCUGGGGGAACAGACGUCAGCCAUUCAGCACAAAGGAAACUUCCUUCUCUGUAUGUCAGAGGAAGACAUAAUUGUGCCAUUUCCUUCUUGAAGAAGUUUACAAACAUUUGCAAGUUGUCAAAAAUAAUUAGUCUAAAAUUGUUUCAUAAACCGUGGAAUGAAACAGGACGUGCCUUGUUGAGAUCAAAGGGCUUCUGUUACCUUCUUGUAAACUCAAAUGAAAUUCUUUUGAAAGUAAA
rnacentral:lncRNA from 1 species